GAAGAUCUACUCAACGCAAAAUUUGUGUGAUCACCCUGAGAUCACGGCAUCCUUUCUUGACUUUUGCGAUUCUGAGGAUCUAGCUUCGAUAGAUUCGUAUAAUCAUCCACAGCCACGUGUCCACGAUGAAUCAUCUACAUCAAAAUUGGGACAUGGGAAAGGAGAAUUAGCACUGUUUUUUCCAGACAUGGACCGUUGGAUUUGUAUCUCGAUCAAAUUUGUUGUAUUGGAUCUUGAGGACACGUUGCCGUGGCCAACCGAAUCGCACCGCUAUGGGAAAGCGAGAACCGAGAAGACCGGCUGCAAGUAACUAUACAGCAAAGCCUGGGUGACGAAGCAAUUCCAAGGAAAUAUCUGAAACCCAAGGUUAGGGUUUGUUUUUGGGACCUUCCUAGGUCUCACCAGAAAGGUCAGGGUUAUGCUUAUGAGCUGAAAACAAUGGCUUAACCUAUCCUGCAUUGUAAUUUAGUCACAAAAAGCUUUGGAAAGUCUGGGCUCCCUCUGCAUAUUACGUUAGCAAAAAGAUUCUAGAUGGGGGCAUUUUUGAGCUUGACUGGUAACAAAGCUAGGGCAGGUGAGUACAGUGAAAUCUCUCAGAGGGAAACCUGCAAGAGACAAAGGAUGUUAUCAAGUUUUAGUGAGGAGAAUCCAAGACUGAUCCCCAGUCUCCCUGAUGAGAUAUCAAUCCAGAUCCUUGCUAGACUUCCCAGAAUUCACUACUUGAAUAUGAAGUUGGUGUCACGGAGCUGGAAAAAUGCUCUUACAAGUCCAGAACUCUUCAGUUUGAGAAGGGAACUUGGAACAACAGAAGAAUGGCUCUAUUUAUUGACUAAGGUUGAUGGUGAUAAGCUUCUGUGGCAUGCACUGGAUCCUUCCUCCAGAAAAUGGCAACGUUUGCCCCCAAUGCCAAAUGUUUCUUAUGAAGAAGAGUCUAAGAGGGGUUUGUCUGGGUUUCGGAUGUGGAAUGUGGUUGGGUCGGGUAUCAAGAUCGCAGAUGUCAUCAAGGGAUGGUUAGGAAGAAGGGAUGGAUUGGAUCGGAUGCCAUUUUGUGGUUGUGCUGUUGGGGCAGUUGAUGGAUGUCUCUAUGUUUUAGGUGGAUUCUCUAGAGUAUCAGCCAUGAAAUGUGUCUGGAGAUAUGAUCCAGUUCAAAAUGCAUGGGUUGAAAUGACAUCCAUGUCAAUGGGUAGGGCCUAUUGUAAGACGGGCAUCUUAAACAGCAAGCUUUAUGCUGUUGGUGGGGUUAGUAUGAGUCGAGGUGGAUGUACUCCUCUUCAAUCUGCCGAAGUAUUUGAUCCUCGUACUGGAAUAUGGACCCAAGUACCAAACAUGCCAUUCUCAAGAGCUCAGGUGUUACCUACUGCCUUUUUGGCUGAUAUGCUGAAGCCUAUUGCCACUGGAAUGACUUCAUAUAGGGGGAGGCUUUGUGUGCCACAGAGUCUUUAUUCCUGGCCCUUUUUUGUUGAUGUUGGAGGAGAGGUUUAUGAUCCUGAAACAAAUUCCUGGGAUGAAAUGCCAGUUGGCAUGGGAGAGGGUUGGCCUGCAAAGCAGGCAGGAACAAAGUUGGGUGUUGUUGUAGAUGGAGAAUUAUAUGCUUUAGAUCCAUCUAGUUCUCUAGAUAGUGGCAAGAUCAAGAUAUAUGAUCCCCAAGAAGAUACUUGGAAAGUAAUUGUAGAUAAAGUUCCUAUUCGUGAUUAUACUGAUUCAGAAUCUCCAUAUUUGCUUGCUGGUUUUCUUGGGAAACUUCAUGUCAUAACUAAAGAUGCCAAUCAUGACAUUUCUGUAUUGCAAGCUGACCUGCAUAAUCAUUUAAACCCUUCCCAGCCGGCUUCAUCUUCAAAUGAACAACAAAGCUCCAUGGCUGAAGCAGAAAGAGAUAUUUGGAAGAUCAUUGUCACUAAGGAUUUUGGUUCUGCUGAACUGGUUAGCUGCCAGGUUCUUGAUAUCUAACAACUAUGUCGAUCUGUGCAGUGCAGUUGUUCCUUUUCUUAUGAUUGUAGUACCUUUGAAAUCUACUACAUACUUCAGGACUUUAUGGCAUAUAAUAUGGCCAUAACUGGAUUACUGGAAUCAGAUAUUUGUAUCUGACUUGAUAUCAAAAUUUUCCCGGGCAUCAAUCCAGCAGAUGUUCUUCAAAGUAAUGAUUUUGUUAUUGCUAAGGGUUAGUCGGUGAUCAAGGUGGACUUCUGGUAAGGCUGAGGAUGGGCUAUUGCAUAUCAGAAAUUCAAUGAAAUUCUUGGAAAGUUCAUUAAAUCGUAUCACCACCAUUAUCCACAUUAAGUGGCAGCAUCUAUGAGUGUGAUGGUUUUUCUCGUAUAAAUUAUACAUAGAUGGUGGUCAUUUUCUUCUCACAUCUAAAUUGUAUAAGCUGGGUUCAGAAGAUUUCUGAACAGGGUUCUUUAUGCUAUUGAUUUGAGGAAGAGUAGUUUACAUACCAUAUAUGGUGGCAGUUUUCUUUCCUUAAAAAGGUUUGUAUAACUCCUUUGGGAGGGGGAGUGGCUGGGCAGGGUUGUUAAUGUUGACAGUUUCUUUUAACCAUGGAGCAAGGUGAGAAUAUCUUUGUGAAAUCUCCGUUAACUGUGCUGGGCUAAGUUUUAUGUCAAGGUUAAUAAUCUGUCUUCCAAUCUACAGAGAGGCUGAUGACUUGUCAAUCAUGUACAUGAUAUUCAGAUGUACAAGUUUGGUGUUCAAUCAACUUUUCAUUAACAAGAUUCACUUUGCAUCCAUAGAACCAUCUCCAUGCUGAUGUUUACAGAAAAAUCAUUCUACAGGCCAAUGAUCCAUAUAUAUGGAGAUGCUUAUGAAUGAGGAAGGAUGCCCAAACCCAGAGGCAGAGGUACACACGAGAAUCUUGAAUUGUUGCUGCCCAAAAGUGGAAUAAUGCCAGAGAUUCUUUUCAUGCAAAAUGAUAAUAAAAAAUUUGUCCAGACUUGACAUGGUUGAUGGUGGAGGUUGGGCUUUUGCUUUCAACCAUCUAUAUUCUUCUUGAGAUGGGCAUCUCAAGUGUCAACAAGGAUUAUACGUAGGUAUUGUGUUCUGGUGUAACCUGCAAAUGGCCUAGGCUUCACGCUUGCCAAUUCCGCAUUGUAUACGGUAUACCUGAAGAGGACAACUGGAGAGUUCACGGGUCUGAUGGUGUCAUGGACAUGGUAGUUGAUCCCUUAGCCAUUUUAGAGAGGAAUGGAGAGAAUUGCAGAGGCCUCAACAUGUUUAUUUCAAGGAUCAAAAUAUCGAUACGCACAAUACCAAAAAUUAGGUAUCAGGGCGUAUCGAUAGACCGAUACUCUUUUUUUUCUAAUUUUUAAACUAAACAGGCCAAGAAAGAUGCCUUCUAUUUUUACCCUUGGUUUAUUUGUAGUGGCCAAGCUUUA